AUAAAAGUGCAUCCCUUUAUAGAUUUAAAAAUCUAAGAGGUGUAAAAACUUUGAACCUGGAUUUUUAAAAUUCAUUCAACAAAUUUUUAUUGAGUACCUACUAUGGGCUGGUCUCUGUUUUGGUCAUUAGACAUGUAGCAAGAAAACAAAAAGCAGGAAUCCAUCUGGACAUGAGAGAUGAGAGCUCAGUUCUGGAUACCUACAUGAAGACCAGGCCAUGUCACCUGGGACUGAAAGGUCAAGGAAACAAAAAGAGGAAGUUUCCUGCUCUAGUUCUGGAUCUGGCCAUAGAAUGACUUUUUCUAAAUCUAUUGGAUUUCUUUUUUAAAAUUGUUAAAAAAAUAUGUAAAUAAACAGAGAUACGGAAAAAUAUACAAAACGAACACACAGCUGAAUGCAUUAUCAUUAGACCAUUUGGAUAAAGAAAUAGAUUUAUAUCCAGAACCCUCAAAGAUUCUCCAUGUGCUUCAGACCAUCAGAAUAACAUCCCUCACCACAAAAGUAACCACUUUCAUUUCUUUUAUAGGAGUCACUUUUUUUGUAUUUCUUUAGAGUUUUAUUGCCUAACUAUUCUAGUAACUAGAACAGAACACUGCAAAUAGCACACGCUUACUAAGUUUAACAAGUUAAGUCAUUGAUGUUGCAUUCUCAAGUGUGCAUUGUUAGACACCAUGUUUAGUCUUGCUCAUGUUUAGUUUUAUAAUUUUUUUAUGUUUUGAUGAAUUUGGGGUAUGUCUCUUAAGUCACGAUUUCUCUAUAGUUCCUCCUUCCAUCUCUUACUUUUCAUUGCAAUUUAUUCAUUGAAAAACUAGGCCCAUUUAGCCUGUAUUGUAAUAUUCUUCUAUCCUCUGUACUUCCCACAAUUUGGCAGCUGGAAUCGAGGUUUGAUUGGACUCAGGCUUCGUCCCUCUGGCAACACUACAAGUUGUGUCGUGUUCUUUUAUUAGAAGGUUGCUUUGAUAUACCUCCAUUUCAAGUGUUCCAGAUCCAAGCAGUUGACAGUAGUGAGAAUCAAAGGCCCAAAUAAAGAGAACUAAAUCAUGAUGAUUGUUUUUAAGGAGCGAAACCAAGAUUUUGGUAUCAGGCUGAUGCUCACCUCAUAGAAUGAAUUAGAAGGGAGCCUCUCCUCCUUGACGUUUUGGAAUAGUUUCAUUAGAAUUGGUACCAUUUCUUCUUUGUACAUCUGAAGACUUCAGCUGUGAAUCCAUCUGGUCCAGGAUUUUUUUUGGUUAGAAGGUUAUUUAUUACUGAUUCAAUUUCAGAAGCUAAUAUUGGUCUAUUAAGGGUUUCAAUCUCUUCUUGAUUCAAUCCAGGGAUAUUGUGUGCUUUCAGGAAUUUAUUCAGUUCCUCUAGAUUUUCUCAUUUGUGUGCGUAGAGUUGUUUAUAGUAGUCUAUGAAGAUCUUUUAUAUUUUUAUGGGAUCAGUUGUAAUAUUACCUUUGUCAUUUCUGAGUGAGCUUAUUUGAAUCUUCUCUUUUUCUUUGUUAAGACACAUGCACUCAUAUGUUCCUCACUGCUCUAUUCACAAUAGCAAAGACAUGGAAUCAACCCAGGUGACCAUCAAUAGUAGAUUGGAUUAAAAAAUGUGAUACAUGUAACAUCAUGGAAUACUAUACAGCCACAACAAAGAAUUAAGUCAUGUCCUUUGCAGCAACAUGGAUAGAGCUGGAGGCCUUAAUCCUAAGCAAAUGAACAUAAGAGCAGAAAACCAAAUACUACAUGUUCUCACUUAUAAGUGGGAGCUAAACACUGAGCACACAUGGACAUAAAUGUGAGAACAAUAGACACUGGACUGCUGAGGUGGGGGACAGGUGGUAAAAAACUACCUAUUUUGUACUGUGCUUACUAACUGAAUGAUGGAAUCCAUACUCUAAACCUCAGCAUAAUGUAAUCUUCCAUGUAACAAAUCUGCACAUAUACUCCCUGUAUCUAAAAUAAAAGUUGAAAUUUUAAAAAGAGGCAAAGUUCUCUAAUAGACUAUUUCAAAAAUUCAUGGAAGGAAAGGUUAAAAAAUAAAAUAAUCUAUAUGAAUUAAUAUUUAAUAAGUGUAAUGUGA
ensembl:lncRNA